UUUUAGUCCUUCUCCUAUCCCAAAAGAUUUUCUUCAUUAGGAGCAUAUAUAUUUUCUUGUUAUGUGGUUUCCAACCAUCGUGUUCUACAACCAAUCUAUACAUGUCUCUCCUCAAGUUACUGCUAUGAAUCAUCUAACUUACUGCUAUGAGGCUAAGUUAUCUGUGAUUACAUUUCAUGUCUCAAUGACCCAGAUUCAGUUCCAAAUAAACAUGUUGAUCCUUUAAGUGCAAAGAGGACACUUCGAAUAAAUCUCUUAUUCAAGUGAUCAAUUCCAUGAUUUGGGGUCAAGGAUGUAUGCCCACAGUCAUGUGAGUUCUCUUACUUCUG
rnacentral:lncRNA from 1 species